rnacentral:lncRNA from 1 species
GUUGUUUUACCCAUUUUGAAAACCCUCUCUCUUUAACAAUUCAAUUCUUUGUCUCCUACAAUCAUCACACCCAAAACAUAUAAACCCUAAUUCUUCCAUAUCACUGUGUUCUUUCUCCAUUGAACAUUGAUCACAUCAGCAUUCAAAUUCACGCGGCCGAGAUCUUCAUCAGGAUCCCCACGAAUCGUUCGAACCCUAAUCACUUCUACAGCCGCUUCACACGUUCCCAAUCGAUCUUCUGUGUUCUCUCCAUAACAGGGAUGAAUCUUUAG